rnacentral:rRNA from 1 species
AUUGAACGCUAGCGGGAUGCCUUACACAUGCAAGUCGAACGGAGUGGCGAACGGGUGAGUCAUGUAUCGGACCGUGCCCAGUAGCGGGGGCUAACUACGCGAAAGCGUGUCUAAUCCCGCAUACUAUUGGAGCGGCCGAUAUCGGAUUAGCUAGUUGGUGGGGUAACGGCUCACCAAGGCGACGCUCCGUAGCUGGUUUUAGAGGACGACCAGCCACACUGGGAAUGAGACACGGCCCAGAUUCCUACGUGAGGCAGCAGUGGGGAAUGUGGGACAAGGGGGGAAACCCUGAUCCAGCCAUCCCGCGUGUGCGAUGAAGGCCUUCGGGUUGUAAAGCACUUUUGGCAGGAAAGCGGUACCUGCAGAAUAAGCACCGGCUAACGACGAGCCAGCAGACGCGGUAAUUC